rnacentral:rRNA from 1 species
UUGAACGCUGGCGGCAGGCUUAACACAUGCAAGUCGAGCGGUAACAGAGAGAAGCUUGCUUCUCUGCUGACGAGCGGCGGACGGGUGAGUAAUGCCUAGGAAUCUGCCUAGUAGUGGGGGAUAACUUGCCGAAAGGUAAGCUAAUACCGCAUACGUCCUACGGGAGAAAGGAGGGGACCUUCGGGCCUUUCGCUAUUAGAUGAGCCUAGGUCGGAUUAGUUAGUUGGUGAGGUAAUGGCUCACCAAGACCGCGAUCCGUAACUGGUCUGAGAGGAUGAUCAGUCACACUGGAACUGAGACACGGUCCAGACUCCUACGGGAGGCAGCAGUGGGGAAUAUUGGACAAUGGGGGGGAACCCUGAUCCAGCCAUGCCGCGUGUGUGAAGAAGGUCUUAGGAUUGUAAAGCACUUUAAGUUGGGAGGAAGAGCAGUUAACUAAUAUUUGACUGUUUUGACGUUACCGACAGAAUAAGCACCGGCUAACUUCGUG